rnacentral:rRNA from 1 species
UACGAAGGGGGCUAGCGUUGUUCGGAUUUACUGGGCGUAAAGCGCACGUAGGCGGAUCGUUAAGUCGGGGGUGAAAUCCUGGAGCUCAACUCCAGAACUGCCUUCGAUACUGGCGAUCUAGAGUCCGGAAGAGGUGAGUGGAACUCCUAGUGUGGAGGUGGAAUUCGUAGAUAUUAGGAAGAACACCAGUGGCGAAGGCGGCUCACUGGACCGGUACUGACGCUGAGGUGCGAAAGCGUGGGGAGCAAACAGG